rnacentral:rRNA from 1 species
CCUACGGGUGGCAGCAGUGGGGAAUCUUCCGCAAUGGGCGAAAGCCUGACGGAGCAACGCCGCGUGAUCGAAUGAAGGCCUUCGGGUUGUAAAGAUCUGUUGACAGGGACGAAUAAGCAAUGCAAAUAGUUUUGUGUAUGACGGUACCUGUUUAGAAAGCUCCGGCUAACUACGUGCCAGCAGCCGCGGUAAUACGUAGGGAGCAAGCGUUAUCCGGAUUUACUGGGUGUAAAGGGAGCGUAGACGGCCAGACAAGUCAGAAGUGAAAGCCCAGGGCUCAACCCUGGGACUGCUUUUGAAACUGCCGGGCUGGAGUGCAGGAGAGGUAAGCGGAAUUCCUAGUGUAGCGGUGAAAUGCGUAGAUAUUAGGAGGAACACCAGUGGCGAAGGCGGCUUACUGGACUGUAACUGACGUUGAGGCUCGAAAGCGUGGGGAGCAAACAGGAUUAGAUACCCUUGUAGUC